AGAGUUUGAUCAUGGCUCAGAUUGAACGCUGGCGGCAGGCCUAACACAUGCAAGUCGAACGGUAACAGGAAACAGCUUGCUGUUUCGCUGACGAGUGGCGGACGGGUGAGUAAUGUCUGGGAAACUGCCUGAUGGAGGGGGAUAACUACUGGAAACGGUAGCUAAUACCGCAUAACGUCGCAAGACCAAAGAGGGGGACCUUCGGGCCUCUUGCCAUCAGAUGUGCCCAGAUGGGAUUAGCUAGUAGGUGGGGUAACGGCUCACCUAGGCGACGAUCCCUAGCUGGUCUGAGAGGAUGACCAGCCACACUGGAACUGAGACACGGUCCAGACUCCUACGGGAGGCAGCAGUGGGGAAUAUUGCACAAUGGGCGCAAGCCUGAUGCAGCCAUGCCGCGUGUAUGAAGAAGGCCUUCGGGUUGUAAAGUACUUUCAGCGGGGAGGAAGGGAGUAAAGUUAAUACCUUUGCUCAUUGACGUUACCCGCAGAAGAAGCACCGGCUAACUCCGUGCCAGCAGCCGCGGUAAUACGGAGGGUGCAAGCGUUAAUCGGAAUUAUUGGGCGUAAAGCGCACGCAGGCGGUUUGUUAAGUCAGAUGUGAAAUCCCCGGGCUCAACCUGGGAACUGCAUCUGAUACUGGCAAGCUUGAGUCUCGUAGAGGGGGGUAGAAUUCCAGGUGUAGCGGUGAAAUGCGUAGAGAUCUGGAGGAAUACCGGUGGCGAAGGCGGCCCCCUGGACGAAGACUGACGCUCAGGUGCGAAAGCGUGGGGAGCAAACAGGAUUAGAUACCCUGGUAGUCCACGCCGUAAACGAUGUCGACUUGGAGGUUGUGCCCUUGAGGCGUGGCUUCCGGAGCUAACGCGUUAAGUCGACCGCCUGGGGAGUACGGCCGCAAGGUUAAAACUCAAAUGAAUUGACGGGGGCCCGCACAAGCGGUGGAGCAUGUGGUUUAAUUCGAUGCAACGCGAAGAACCUUACCUGGUCUUGACAUCCACGGAAGUUUUCAGAGAUGAGAAUGUGCCUUCGGGAACCGUGAGACAGGUGCUGCAUGGCUGUCGUCAGCUCGUGUUGUGAAAUGUUGGGUUAAGUCCCGCAACGAGCGCAACCCUUAUCCUUUGUUGCCAGCGGUCCGGCCGGGAACUCAAAGGAGACUGCCAGUGAUAAACUGGAGGAAGGUGGGGAUGACGUCAAGUCAUCAUGGCCCUUACGACCAGGGCUACACACGUGCUACAAUGGCGCAUACAAAGAGAAGCGACCUCGCGAGAGCAAGCGGACCUCAUAAAGUGCGUCGUAGUCCGGAUUGGAGUCUGCAACUCGACUCCAUGAAGUCGGAAUCGCUAGUAAUCGUGGAUCAGAAUGCCACGGUGAAUACGUUCCCGGGCCUUGUACACACCGCCCGUCACACCAUGGGAGUGGGUUGCAAAAGAAGUAGGUAGCUUAACCUUCGGGAGGGCGCUUACCACUUUGUGAUUCAUGACUGGGGUGAAGUCGUAACAAGGUAACCGUAGGGGAACCUGCGGUUG
rnacentral:rRNA from 1 species